ensembl:lncRNA
GUUCUGUUUAGCUGCCUCUUGGUGGCUAAUUGGGAAUUAUACUGUGUGCAGUAUACUUCUCAUAAUCCCAAGCAGAGCCAACUACAUCUACACCAGUGAUUACUACAUUAUCUGUUACCAAAGAGGCUGCAAACGCGGCCAGCCCAACUAGGACUGGCUCCUAGGUCAUCACUCAGCGAGAAAAUUGGGCAGGGGAAGCGCCAGCAUUAGAGGCGUCUUCCCUAGAGAUGAAUCUGCGCCCCACACAGUUAGUUGUCAGUGCGGUGGUGACGGCCACACCUGGCAGAGGCCACAGCGCAUCUCCUGAGAGCAGGGGCUGUGGCUCGGCCCAGAGUCGCUGCUGGGUGCAGCGGCGGCGGCGGCGGCGGCGGCAGAAGGAGCCGAGGCGCUCUGGGUAGAGGAGCCUGGGGAUCGCAGCGUCUGUGCUGCAUUCCCCAGAGCGGCCGCGGCAGCGCUUGGGAAGUUCCCAGCACGCACUCAGCUGCGCCGUUCCUCACCCUCAGUUGUUGAUGAGCCUGGGCGCUCCUCAACACGCGGGGAGACAACCCUUUCUGCUUUCUUAGAGACAGAGAUGAGAAAUGAGCUGCCGAAGGGAUCUGGCAAGGAGGAGAGUGAAAGGUAGUUUGGUGCCAGCAGCUAAGUUGUAGAAUUGCUUUGGAGGCUGCCCCGGGAGCACAAGAGAAUUUGACAAGAACAGACACCGUUGCAGACCCCAGGCGUGCCUGAUUGCACUUGAGUCAGAUCGCUGGGACGCAGCCUUCGCUCCAACUGUCUGUGGCCGAAUAAAGGGAAGGAGACUAGAAACGGGAUUGCAAAGUGAUAUUCCUGAAAGGAAAACACAGACACUCGAAAAGGAGGGGAGGGGGGGAACAGCCCAGCUGGUGUGUGCAUUUUUUUUUAAAGGAGAAUCCCUCAGGUCUGACUUCAGGAGGAACUCGGUAAAUCUAUGGUGAAUGUCAGGAUCUAGUAUCCUAGCAGCUCAUGAGCACAAGACCCAAAAGGCAGAAGACAUGUAGCUUCAAGAGAGAUGGCAGAUGAACAGUUAAAAACAGGGGAGCUGCCUGCCUGACUUUAUCUAGGUCAGAAGCAUGUCAUAGUAUAGGUCUUUGUCAACUCCCCAUGAUGUUUGUCUUUCUGUUCUUAAUCAGGGGUUCAGGGACUAAGUACUACUUUUUCAGUUUGCUGUUUCUAGUCACAGUACUUUCCUCAUUGUCUCUAAGUCCCAUAUCCUCCUUCACUUCCUUUCAUCAUUUUUUUUAAUUGGAGUGUAUUAUGUGUUAGUUUCUGCUGUACAGUAAACUGAAUCAGCUGUAUGUAUACAAAUAUCAUAUAUUAAUGCAUAUAUGUGGAAAAUCCCUUGAUCUAAAUCUUCCCCUUUUAAUUUCAGUUAAUAAUCUAGGAUGUGUUCUGCCUCUCUCCUAUUUAGGCCAGUGGGACACCCAAUUUGUGUCCACGUUAUUGGUCUUUACCAUCCUGGCUUCUGCUUUUAUGACAUCCAGCUCCCAUUGGAUUUAGCAAUAGCCACAAUUAUGUGAAGAAAUCCAGAGAAUUCCCAAUGGUCCUUUUUAGUUUUCUAGAAGGAAUUCUUAGAGCAUUUGUUUAUUCCAAGAUGGGAGGCAGUAUAGUUGAUUAUAGACAGCUGUUUUUACUUGUGACAAUUUGUUAGAGAAAAAUUUCCACCCCAAAAAAGAGCACAUGAAGAGUCUGAGCAAAACCUGCACUGAAUUCUUUGGUUGAUCUUGAAAUCUCUAAAUUUCUCAAUAAUGACGGUGAAAGGAAGGGAUGUCAGUUAGGAGGGGCAAAGAAUAGCCAACUUUAGAAUCUAUGGAGAGAAAACUUGAGCCUAGCUCUGAAAGUUUUCUUUGUGAGUUAUGACCUAUAUAAAUAUAUAUAUGAAGUGAAGUGAAGUGAAAGUCGUUCAGUUGUGUCUGACUCUUUGUGACCCCAUGGACUAUUCGGUCCAUGGAAUUCUCUAGGCCAGAAUACUGGAGUGGGUAGCUGUUCCCUUCCCUUCUCCAGGAGAUCUUUCCAAUGCAGAGAUCAAACCCAAGUCUCCCACAUAUAAGCAUAUAUAUAUAUAUGUAUGCCCAUAUGUAUAUACAUUUAUUUAUUUUUUUCUUUUUGGUUGUACUGGGUCUCUUUUGCUGCACGUGGUCUUUCUCAGGUUGGGACAGUCUGGGGCUACUCUUUGUUGUGAUGCUUGGGCUCUAGGAACAUGAGGUUCAGUAGUUGCAGCUUGCAGACUCAUUAGCCGUGUGAGCCUAGCAGUCAUGGCACAUGAACUUAGUUGCUUUGUGGCAUAUGGAAGAAGCCCAUGGAGAAUCCCAAGGAUGGCAGAGCCUGGUGGGCUGCGGUCUAUGGGGUCACACAGAGCUGGACACGACUGAAGUGACUUAGCAGCAGCAGCAGCAGCACCAUGAGAGAAAUCCAUGAGUUACUAACUUUUAUAUUGCAUGCAUGCUCAGUCUCUCAGUCAUAUCUGAU